rnacentral:rRNA from 1 species
GGCUGUGUCUUUGGCGAAGAGGAAAUACCCGUUCCCAUCCCGAACACGGAAGUCAAGCUCUUCAGCGGCGAUGGUACUGCAGAUUUAUCUGUGGGAGAGUAGCACGAUGCAGCCU